rnacentral:rRNA from 1 species
GUGUCAGCAGCCGCGGUAAUACGGAGGGUGCAAGCGUUAUCCGGAUUUACUGGGUUUAAAGGGUGUGUAGGCGGAUAUUUAAGUCAGAGGUGAAAUCUCCGGGCUCAACCCGGAAACUGCCUUUGAUACUAUUUAUCUUGAAUUUCGUUGAGGUUGGCGGAAUAUAUCAUGUAGCGGUGAAAUGCAUAGAUAUGAUAUAGAACACCGAUUGCGUAGGCAGCUGGCUGAACGACGAUUGACGCUGAGGCACGAAAGCGUGGGUAGCGAACAGGAUUAGAAACCCUCGUAGUCC